AUUGAACGCUGGCGGCAGGCCUAACACAUGCAAGUCGAACGAGUGGCGGACGGGUGAGCAAUGUCUGGGAAACUGCCUGACGGAGGGGGCUAACUACUGUAAACGGUAGCUAAUACCGCAUACCCCCAGUUGUGCCCUGAGGGGAUUAGCUAGUUGGUGGGGUAACGGCUAACCAAGUCGACGAUCCCUAGCUGGUCUGAGAGGAUGACCAGCCACACUGGAACUGCGACACGGUCCAGACUCCUACGGGAGGCAGCAGUGGGGAAUAUGGCACAAUGGGCGCAAGCCUGAUGCAGCAAUGCCGCGUGUAUGAAGAAGGCCUUCGGGUUGUAAAGUACUUUCAGCGGGGAGGCGUUACCCGCAGAAGAAGCACCGGCUAACUCCGUGCCAGCAGCCGCGGUAAUUC
rnacentral:rRNA from 1 species